GACUCCAUAACCCAAUGGAUAAAGCGAUGAUCUACGAAACCAGAAAUUCUGGGUUCCAUCCCCAGUGGAGUCG
rfam:Picea glauca, whole genome shotgun sequence.